GUCAAGUGAUGAAAAUAGGUUUUGCAUAGACACAACUCAAACCAGAGUACUUUAUUGUCUGUAAUCUUGGUGGCUAUACUGAGACUGUGUAGUCAUCGUAAGGCCGGACAUAUAACAUUGACAUGCUCCUAGUGUAGGGUUGGGUAUUUCAGGGGGUUGUAGAUCUGACCUUCCUGGGAUUUACUGGAGCAUUGUCGAACAGAGAGAUUUCUCAUCGGGUUGGGAAUGGAUAUUUUAAUGGGCAAAACUAGUGUCUUUGAUGUCAUAUUUAGUAAUCUGAUGACA